UAUGAGCUGCCACCGGGUAGCAAUGCGAUUUAAGCAUUCGUCGGCACAUCGUUAGGUCUUGGAAGAUGUGCUUGCGGGUGCUUUUUUUGU
rnacentral:ncRNA from 1 species